rnacentral:rRNA from 1 species
GGAUCAGGUAGGAAUACCCGCUGAACUUAAGCAUAUCCUCUCG